rnacentral:rRNA from 1 species
CAGUCGCCGCGGGAAUACAGAGGGUGCGAGCGUUAAUCGGAUUUACUGGGCGUAAAGCGUGCGUAGGCGGCAUCUUAAGUCGGAUGUGAAAUCCCUGAGCUUAACUUAGGAAUUGCAUUCGAUACUGGGAAGCUAGAGUAUGGGAGAGGAUGGUAGAAUUCCAGGUGUAGCGGUGAAAUGCGUAGAGAUCUGGAGGAAUACCGAUGGCGAAGGCAGCCAUCUGGCCUAAUACUGACGCUGAGGUACGAAAGCAUGGGGAGCAAACAGGAUUAGAUACCCCGGUAGUCCCUGUCUCUUAUAC